rnacentral:rRNA from 1 species
GAUGAACGCUGGCGGCGUGCCUAAUACAUGCAAGUAGAACGCUGAAGGAGGAGCUUGCUCUUCUGGAUGAGUUGCGAACGGGUGAGUAACGCGUAGGUAACCUGCCUGGUAGCGGGGGAUAACUAUUGGAAACGAUAGCUAAUACCGCAUGACAACAGCUAUUGCAUGAUAACUGUUUAAAAGGGGCAACUGCUCCACUACCAGAUGGACCUGCGUUGUAUUAGCUAGUUGGUGAGGUAACGGCUCACCAAGGCGACGAUACAUAGCCGACCUGAGAGGGUGAUCGGCCACACUGGGACUGAGACACGGCCCAGACUCCUACGGGAGGCAGCAGUAGGGAAUCUUCGGCAAUGGACGGAAGUCUGACCGAGCAACGCCGCGUGAGUGAAGAAGGUUUUCGGAUCGUAAAGCUCUGUUGUAAGAGAAGAACGAGUGUGAGAGUGGAAAGUUCACACUGUGACGGUAUCUUACCAGAAAGGGACGGCUAACUACGUG